rnacentral:rRNA from 1 species
UAGGGAAUAUUGGGCAAUGGAGGGAACUCUGACCCAGCCAUGCCGCGUGCAGGAUGAAGGCGUUAUGCGUUGUAAACUGCUUUUUAUAUAGGAAGAAAUAGUCCUUGCGAGGAAAGUUGACGGUACUAUAUGAAUAAGCACCGGCUAACUCCGUGCCAGCAGCCGCGGUAAUACGGAGGGUGCAAGCGUUGUCCGGAUUUAUUGGGUUUAAAGGUGCGUAGGCGGUUUAUUAAGUCAGUGGUGAAAGACGGUCGCUCAACGAUUGCAGUGCCAUUGAUACUGGUAGACUUGAGUAUGAUUGAGGUAGCUGGAAUGGAUAGUGUAGCGGUGAAAUGCAUAGAUAUUAUCCAGAACACCAAUUGCGUAGGCAAGUUACUAAGUCAUAACUGACGCUGAGGCGCGAAAGCCAGGGGAGCAAACGGGAUUAGAUACCCCCGUAGUCCCUGAGCGGGCUGGCAAGGCGCAU